GCAAGUCGAACGCUCACCUUCGGGUGGGAGUGGCAGACGGGUGAGUAACACGUGGGAACGUACCCUUUGGUUCGGGACAACUCUGGGAAACUAGAGCUAAUACCGGAUACGCCCUUUUGGGGAAAGGUUUACUGCCGAAGGAUCGGCCCGCGUCUGAUUAGCUAGUUGGUGGGGUAACGGCCUACCAAGGCGACGAUCAGUAGCUGGUCUGAGAGGAUGAUCAGCCACACUGGGACUGAGACACGGCCCAGACUCCUACGGGAGGCAGCAGUGGGGAAUAUUGGACAAUGGGCGCAAGCCUGAUCCAGCCAUGCCGCGUGAGUGAUGAAGGCCUUAGGGUUGUAAAGCUCUUUUAUCCGGGACGAUAAUGACGGUACCGGAGGAAUAAGCCCCGGCUAACUUCGUGCCAGCAGCCGCGGUAAUACGAAGGGGGCUAGCGUUGCUCGGAAUCACUGGGCGUAAAGGGCGCGUAGGCGGCGUUUUAAGUCGGGGGUGAAAGCCUGUGGCUCAACCACAGAAUGGCCUUCGAUACUGGGACGCUUGAGUCUGGUAGAGGUUGGUGGAACUGCGAGU
rnacentral:rRNA from 1 species